GCUAAUUUGAUUUCAUUUCCGCUUUCUUGUGUCCAGUGAUUUGUUCUAACUGCCCCACCAGCAGCUCGUGACCAGCAUGUGACUCCCUCGAUGGCCCAAGUAAUUUAGCAGGAGUCCGUCUGACUGCAGCGCUCUCAAGCCUCCUGGAGAGCGACAUCAGUUUGGUCACUUCGCCCAGCACUCCUUCUUCCUCAGUCUCCCUCCCUUCCCUCGCUUUCUGUCACUUUCUCAUUCCCCCACACGCUGCCCAGCACUCCAUGGCACACCAGCCCUGCCUCUCAGCUGCUGACCAUUGACCAUGUAGAAGAGGAAGAGGCAGCCGGUCAACGUGCUGCUGGAGCAUCCCGCAACAAGGAGGUGAUCAAAAGUCCAAAGAAACUUACCAUGGUGCACUUAAAGAAGACAGGAUCAGACUACUGCUUCUCGGAGAAAUCAUCAGGUAAAAAUACUGUACAUGUAUUU
rnacentral:lncRNA from 1 species